AAGGGGCGAGCAUGUAAAUGUAAGCGGAUCUCAAAAAAGCCAUCCCAGUUCGGAUUGUGGGCUGCAACCCGCCCACAUGAAGUUGGAGUUGCUAGUAAUCGCGGAUCAGCAUGCCGCGGUGAAUACGUUCCCGGGCCUUGUACACACCGCCCGUCACACCAUGGGAGUUGGGAGCACCCGAAGCCGGUGAGUUGACCGCAAGGGGACAGCCGUGAAGGUGAGACUGAUGACUGGGGUGAAGUCGUAACAAGGUAAC
rnacentral:rRNA from 1 species